GUUGCUGGAACCUCUGUGAAAGCAGAGGAAGCUGGAAAGGAUGUAAUACAGUAGCUGCUGAUGAUCAUCUUGCCACCAUAGGGGUAAGUCAUCUGGCAAAGAGGUCAAGAUAAUGCUAGCAGGGUUGAGAGCCUGAGGCAAGGACAGAUCCCUGAGGACACUGUCUGGACGUCUGACAAUGGGUCAUCCUGGCUGCCCUCUUUCCUAGCCUGCAGCACAUCCUCCACCAUCAGCCCUACAUCCUGUUACUCAGGCACCCAACCAUGCCGGAACAGCUAUGGAAUUUCCAGUUUUGUGAACCAAUAUACUCUCCCUUUGGUUAAGGCAGUUUGAGUUGUGUUUCCAUCAUUUGCAAUUAAAAGAUUCCUGCUACAAAGCCCUCAUGGAUCUGCAUUUUUUCUCCCAGGUCUCUUCUACCACUAGAGAGUUGUGGACUCUUGGCAAAGGAGUUAAUAACACUACUCACAAUUCAUGUCUUCAUUCAAUAAAUAUUAUUCUUUACUUCAUAUGUUCCACGCUCUGGUUGUUUUGUGGGGAGCAAAAGAGAAGUUCCCAUUUCUGUUUAUGUUAGAAACAAAACAAGACAAAAAACAAAUUAACAAGCAAAUACAUACUGAUUAUAAAAUAAUGUGAUGUGAAGAAAAAAACUGCUAAGAAAGAAUAAUGAGGUAGGAGGGGGCUACUUGAGAUCAGGUGGUCACGCUGAGAGUUGAGAGUGGAAAGGAGCAGCUGGGAAGGUGUCUGGGAGAAGGCUGUUCUAGGAGGCAGAAACAACAUGAACCAGAAGCUUGAGGAAAGACUGUUCACUAGAGGAACAGAAGGAAAACCAGGGAGGCUGGACAAGAACAGGGAUGGGAAGCUGACUAGAGUGUAGAGAGAAAACUAGGAAGACCUCAUAGGGCCUUGUGGGUUUGAGUGUAAUUCAACCAAAGAAGCCACUGUUCUUGCCUCCUCUCUCAUAGAAAGAGAACUCCUGAUUUACUUAUUUUUAUUAUUUUUUUAAACGGUUAACUUUUAUUUUAGAUACAGGGGCUACAUGUACAGAUUUGUUACAUGGGUAUAUGGCAUGAUGCUGAGGUUUGGGGUAUGGUUCCCAUCAUCUGGGUAGUAAGCAUAUAGUUUUUUCACCCACGCCCCUUCCUUAUUUCUCUCCACCAGUAGUCCGCUGUGUCUACUGGAGUGUCUGUUGUUGCCAUGUUUAUGUUCAUGUGUGUUGUUCCCAUGUUUAUGUCUGUGUGUGUUGUUCCCAAUGUUUAACUCCCACUUAUAAGUGAGAACAUGUGGUAUCUGGUUUUCUGUUCUUGCAUUAAUUUGCUUAGGAUUAUGGCCUCCAGAUGCAUGCAUAUUGCUGCAAAGGACACGAUUUCAUCCUAUUUUAUGGCUGCAUAGUAUUCCAUGGUGUAUAUGUAUCAAGUUUUCUUUAUAUAAUCCACUACUGAUGGCACCUAGGUUGAUUCCAUGUCUUUGUUACUGUGAAUAGUGUGGAAAUAAAGAUAUGAGUGCAUGUGUCCUUUUGAUAGAAUGAUUUAUUUUCCUUCAGGUAUAUACCCAGUAAUGGGAUUGCUGGGUUAAAUGGUAGCUCCGUUUGUAGUUCUUUGAGAAAUCUCCAAACUGCUUUCCACAGUGGCUGAACUAAUUUACAUUUCCACAAAUGUAACAGAAAGGCCCAAAAUUAACAGUAGAUAAGACUUUAUUUCUCUCAGGGAGAAAAAAAAGUCAACGUAUAAAGCAACUCUUUAUAAGGGUUCUCUUUUCUUUGCAGCCUCGCCGGCAUCUGUUGUUUCUGACUUUUAAUAAUAGCAAUUCUGACUGGUGUGAGACGGUAUCUCACUGUGGUUUUGGUUUGCAUUUCUCUGAUGAUUGGUGAUGAUGAAUAUUUUUUUCAAGUGUUUGUUGGCCACUUGUAUUAUCUUCUUUUGAGAAGUGUCUGCUCAUGUUCUUUGUCCAUUUUUUAAUGGGGUUAUUGUUUUUCUCUCAUUUAUUUGUUUGAGAUCCUUAUGGAUUCUGGGUAUUAGACCUUUGUUGGAUGCAGAGUUUAUGAGUAUUUUCUCCCAUUCUGUAGAUUAUCUGUUCAUUCUGUUGAGAAUUUCCUUUGCUGUGCAGGAGCUCUGUGGUUUAAUUAGGUCCCAUUUUUCAAUUUUUGUUUUUGUUGCAAUUGCUUUUGGGGACUCAGCCAAAACUUUUUUGUGAAGGCCAAUGUCAAGAAGGGUACUUCCUAGGUUUUCUUCCAGGAUUAUUAUAGUUUGAAGUCUUACAUUUAAACCUUUAAUCCAUCUUGAGUUAAUUAUUGUAUAUGGUGAAAGGUAAUGGUCCAGUUUUAUUCUUCUGCAUAUAGCUAGCCAGUUAUCCAUCCCAGUACAAUUUAUUGAAUAGUGAGUCCUUUCCCCAUUGCUUGUUUUCGCCUUGUCAAAGAUCAGAUGGUUUAUAGGGUGUGGCUUUAUCUCUGGGUUUUCUAUUCUGAGAACCCCUGAUUUAUAUUUAGGCACAGAGGACCUCUGAUUAUGGAUACCAUUUCCCAGACUCUCUUGCAGCUAGGUGUGCCAUAUGAGUAGAUACUGGUCACUGGAAUGUGAACAAGUGUGAAAUGAGUAACAUCAGGGUCCUUCCUGUAAAGAGCAGAGAAAUACCCACUUUGUCCUCUUUUCUCCCUAGAAUAGCUGGCAUGCAGGGAUGAGCCAGAGCCAUCUCAGACUGUGGCAGGAGGGCAACACCUUAGGAAUGGCUGAGCAACAAGCCAGACAGAGCCUGAGCUCCCAACAGUUUCAUGGAAGAGAUGCUUCAUAGGUUGACUUUUUUUCUCCCUGAGAGAAAUAAAGUCUUAUCUACUGUUAAUUUUGGGCCUUUCUGUUAAUGCAGCUGAAAUUAUAUAGAGAUGUUUAAAACUAUGGGUUAGGAUGAGACCACCCAGGACAGUAGUCCUCAAACUGUGUUUUCGGGAGCUCUGAGAACUCUGAGUGUCAUUGAGAUGCUAUCAGGGGUCUGUGAGGUCAAAACUCUUUUCCUAAUAAUGCUAAGAUGUGUGUACCUUUUACACUCUCAUUCUCUCACCAGUGUAUGGUGCAGCUUUCCAGGAGCUAUGUGCAUGGGAUAGUGCAACACGGUGUAUGCAGAUGUGUAUGCAGAAGUAGUAUGAAAAUCCAGCUGUCUUUUUUUAAAGCCAGACAAUGCAGGGAUUCACAAAAAUGUAAAACAAUGUACUCUUCUUACGAAAUGCCUUUUGUUUGGAAAUAUGGUCAGUUUUGAAAACAGAUUAUAUUUAUGUUAACAUGUAAUGCAUUCACAAUUUUAAAAUUAAUAUUUUUAACUUUUCUCCAUUUUACUAACAUAAAUAUUAAUAGAUACAAACCCACUUAAAAAGCUCUUUCAGAUCUUCAAGAAUGUUUAAGCAUACAAAGAAGCCCCGAGACCACAAGGGUGAGAACUACCAUCCUCCCCGCUCUCCGGAUGCUCCCACAGCCUGGGCUCCCCAGUGCAGCCCAGAGCCAGCACCAAGCAGGAGAUGCAGUACAGUGUGCCCAGGACCAUGGCAGCCAUCACAUAUGCCCUCCACUGGGGAACAAGAAGUGCGUUAGGCUGAUGUACUCCACUCCACCUCCAUACGUGUUUGUGCAGUGACACCAGCCUGGAGGGCCUUCUAUCGCCAUCUCCCUCCUCUGUAAAUCCUACCCACUCUUUGAGUCUUGGCCCAAGGGCUGCUGUCUCUCUCUCUCUCAAAUGAUUUCUGUGUUCUCAUUUGUCUCUGCCUUCUCUGGGAAUCUUUGGUGCCACAGGGUAAUCUCCUGUGUGUCACUCCUGACUUCCUAAUUCAUCUGCCAUCUCCUUCCUUGAAAGCGGAAAUAGUGACUUCUUCUGCUUCCCUACAUUGCCUAAUAACAAUAACAACUACCAUAAUAAUACUUGCUAACAAUUAUUAAACAGUCACCAUUAUAAUAUUAGCUCAUUUACUCCUUGCAACAGCUCUCUAAGGUGGGCUCUAUGAUAUUAGCCUCAUUUUACAGAUGAGAGGACUGAGGCUCAGAAAGGUUAAAGAACUGCCCAAGCCACACAGUUCAGAAAUGGAGGCCAGCAUAUAAGCCAGUUCAACUCUGAUUGGCGACUGCUAGAAAUCAAUGGAGUGAUAUGCACUUAGCACUGUGCCGGGGGGAUAGAAAGUGCUCUACUACCCAGUAAGCAUUUAUUGAGCACCUACUAUGUGUCAGGCACUGCUAGGUGCUGUGGGUUCAGCUGUGAGCCAAGCAAAGUCCCUUCUCUCCUCGUGCUUGUAGGCUGUUCCUGCCUAAGCCUUCCCUCUGCUGUUCCCUCAGCUUGAAAUGUUUUCCCCAGGUUCCCACAUGGCUUGCUCCAUCACCUCCUUUAGGUCUCUGCUCAAAUAUCACCUUAUCAGUGAGGCUUCCUCUGACCUCACCACCUAAAAUCUCAACUUGCUCUGCCCUUCCCUGCAGCACAUCCUGCCCGAUGCCUGCAUGUGCUAUGGGCCUCACUCACUCAUGGGUAAUAUCUGUUUCCCCUGCAGGACGUCAGCUCUGUGAGGGUGGAAGAUGUGUCUGUCUUUUCCCUGCUAUAGCCUCUGGCACAGCAUAGCACCUGGUAUACAGUAGAUGCUCAGAAACCAUGUGCCAAAUGGAUGAAUGAGCAUGGUUGGUGGUGAAAAUUGUUAUGAGGAAGAAUGAAGGUAGUCAAAGGGGAUGGGGUCUGGGGGUCAUCUUCCAGAGAGGGCGUAAGAUUGGAGACCUGAUUAGAGCGUGUGGUGGGGGGGAGUGGGGUCGGGGGGAAUGUGUCAUGUAAAGAACUGGGAGAAGUGUCUUCCAGGCAGAGGAAAAGCAUGUGCAAAGGCCCUGUGGUGGGAGCAUGCAAGGCAUGUCUGAGAAACAGAAAAGAGGCUGGUGUAAGGGAGAAGGGUGGGAGGUGAGGGAGAAGGGCCGGGGGCCAGCUUGUCCAGGUCUUUCAGACCAUGCUGAGGGAUCUGACGUUUCCUGAGGGUGAUGGGGAGCCAUGGAGGAGUCUACAGACAUUAGCUGUUAUUACUAUGUUUCAAGGGCCCACAUGGGCCAGGCCCAGGUAGGCCGCCUUACACACACACACUCCCAUUUGAUCUGUGUGUCCAUGCUGCAGGCUUUCCUGUCCCCUUUUCACAGACAGGGAAGCAGAAGCCAGCAGGCCCCUCUUUACUGUGUUCUCCAGAGAGUUGGUGAGCAGGAAGUUGCUGUUGCCAUCAAGGGAGCCAUUGUCCCAUGAGCCAUUGAACUCCACGGAGCCCUAGUUUAUGCUGCUGUGGAAGUGGCUCCCCAGCUUUCCCUAGAUGUGGGCUCCUACUAGCAUGCUGACAGCUUCCAUACCUAUGCCUGCGGAGGCGACUUAGGAGACCAGCGGACUUACUUCCUGGUCCCAGGAUGAAGUAAAGAAGCCAGCAGAUGGUGCCAAAGGCAACCUCUAUUUACCCUUGCUGCUCAUUAGCAUAAGACACUCCCACCAGUGCCGUGACAGUUUACAAAUGCCAUGGCAACGAGCUGCAAGUUACCACCCCUUUCCAUGGCAACAACUCGGCAUUUGUUCUUUUCUAGAGCAUUCUGAAUAACAAACCUCUUAAUUUGCAUGUAAUUAAAAACUUUUGGGUCUGGUAAAGAUCUUAAAUGUUUUUAGCACACACACACACACAAAUGUAAGUGGGUGAGGUGACAGAUGUGUUAACUAACACGAUUGUGGCACUCAUUUCACAAUGUAUAUGUAUAUCAAAUCAGCAUGUUGCACACCAUAAAUUUACACAAUUUUGUCAAUCAUACCUCAAGAAAGCUGGGAAAACAGAAUCAUACCACAAAUUCACUGUUUUAGAACAUGCAAUUAAGCAGUUUUAGUAUAUUUACAGAACUGUGCAACCAUUAUCACUACUAAUUCUAGCAUAUUU
rnacentral:lncRNA from 1 species